rnacentral:snoRNA from 2 species
GGCCUGUGAUGUAAGCGAAAUAUUUGCUACUCGGGAUUGAUUAUUCAUUCAAACCUAAGGUC